GGAUUAGAUACCCUGGUAGUCCACGCCGUAAACGAUGUCAACUAGCCGUUGGGCAUUCAAGAAUGUUUAGUGGCGCAGCUGACGCGAUAAGUUGACCGCCUGGGGAGUACGGUCGCAAGAUUAAAACUCAAAGGAAUUGACGGGGGCCCGCACAAGCGGUGGAGCAUGUGGUUUAAUUCGAUGCAACGCGAAGAACCUUACCUACCCUUGACAUCAUCAGAACUUUUAGAGAUAACUCGGUGCCUUCGGGAACUGAUUGACAGGUGCUGCAUGGCUGUCGUCAGCUCGUGCCG
rnacentral:rRNA from 1 species